AACGCACAUUGCGCCCGCCAGCACUCUGGCGGGCAUGCCUGUUCGAGCGUCAUUAACAACCCUCAGGCCCUGCCUGGCGUUGGGGCCCUGCGCGCGCAGGCCCUCAAAGACAGCGGCGGGUGCGCCCGGGAACCGAACGCAGUAGAUCUCUCUCGUUCCGGCCCCGCGGGCGCGCUCCGGCCGUUAAACCCACCACUAUUUUUUACGUCCAGUUGACCUCGGAUCAGGUAGGAAUACCCGCUGAACUUAA
rnacentral:misc_RNA from 1 species